UACGAAGGGGCUAGCGUUGUUCGGAAUUACUGGCGUAAAGCGUGCGCAGGCGGCUUCUCAAGUCAGGGGUGAAAGCCAGAGCUCAACUCUGGAAUUGCCUUUGAGACUGAGUGGCUUGAGUACGAGAGAGGUGAGUGGAAUUCCCAGUGUAGAGGUGAAAUUCGUAGAUAUUGGGAAGAACACCGGUGGCGAAGGCGGCUACACUGGCUCGGUAACUGACGCUCAUGCACGACAGCGUGGGGAUCAAACAGG
rnacentral:rRNA from 1 species